GUGGGGAAUAUUGGACAAUGGGCGAAAGCCUGAUCCAGCCAUGCCGCGUGUGUGAAGAAGGUCUUCGGAUUGUAAAGCACUUUAAGUUGGGAGGAAGGGCAGUAAGUUAAUACCUUGCUGUUUUGACGUUACCGACAGAAUAAGCACCGGCUAACUUCGUGCCAGCAGCCGCGGUAAUACGAAGGGUGCAAGCGUUAAUCGGAAUUACUGGGCGUAACGCGCGCGUAGGUGGUUUUGUAAGUUGGAGGUGAAAUCCCCGGGCUCAACCUGGGAACUGCCUCCAAAACUGCAUGACUAGAGUACGGUAGAGGGUAGUGGAAUUUCCUGUGUAGCGGUGAAAUGCGUAGAUAUAGGAAGGAACACCAGUGGCGAAGGCGACUACCUGGACUGAUACUGACACUGAGGUGCGAAAGCGUGGGGAGCAAACAGGAUUAGAUACCCGGGUAGUCC
rnacentral:rRNA from 1 species